UCAAAAGAAAAUGUUAGUUUUCUGUUUGGCUCCAAGUUUUGAGUCACUUUUGCAAAAAAGCCCUAAUUACAAUUCAAACUCUAGCUCAAACGGACUGGGCCCGUAUUAUAAAAUUAAGGUAUAAGGCCGAGAAAUGAUUGUAAACCAUACUGCAUUGUAUCUAACUUAUUGGGCUUACAAUAGCAAAUGGGCUAUGUUUUUGUUUUGUUCUCUGUUUACUCAAGAGAAGCGACAGAAAAAAAAAAAUAUCCACGGUGUUUCGAUGGUCGGAAUAGAUAGGGGAUAAGGGUUUCUCAAUUCAGAUUGCACCCAAUCAGCGAAAAAAAUUCGAUGGCUUAAACUGGUUCGCUUUAUCUGGCAAACCAACCCGCUUCACCUUAGUCAAUUCAGUCCCACAAAAAGCAUUCAUAUAGCAAGAAGAUAACUUCAUAUUUGCAGAAGGAAGCUUGCUAGGCAAAUGAAGUAAGAUUCACUGAUUGGUUCAAUCUUUGAAAUAGCAGAGAAUGGAGUUAGCUUGAUUUGGUAUCGACUCCUGGUUGUUCUUAUCAGUCCAGAAGCAGGGCUGUUCGUUUGGUUGCCGCAGGUACCGGCGGCAGCGGCAGCGUCAACAUUCUGCGUCAACUCUUGUUCGUUUCGUUGACGCAGGAAACUGCGUCUGACGCUGCGUCCGAACGCCGCGUCCUGCGGCUGACGCCGAUAAAAUCUGCGGUCGCGAUAUAGUAUGCGGCUGCGGCAGCGUCAGCGUCUGCGAAACGAACAACAACUGUCCUCAUUGACGCUGAGGACGCCGCCGCCGCUGACGCCGACGCCGAAACCUGCGACAACCAAACGAACAGGACUAUUGCACAAAGAUCCGUUGACCGUAUUCCAAUUGGUAUGUUCUCUCAAAAUAACUAUUGAAUGAAGAGCUUCUCCGUUGUACAGAAGAUCACAAUAACAGAAAAAGAUUUGUUAGGCGAAUGGAUUAUACGCUUGGGAAUUCUUAUGACAUCGAAGUAUUAGCCAUGUGUUGAACGAUUUGGGUCGUACAUAUAUUUUUCAAUGCACAAAUGGAUAUUAAGGGCAACAAAACUCAAAUGCAACCCAAGCCGCGCAACACUAAAUACGCAAGGCUUAUCCCAUAGCAACAACUAAGAACGGUGAGGAUUAAUUCCACAAUGGAUUAGAUAUUGCAGAUAGACGUAUACGAUUACAGAAGACAUCAUUAUAUAAGAUCAGAGGAAAACGUGUCGGCAAAGUAAAUCGAACUACAUCCAAUUCCGGUUUUUCUUCGAGGUAUGUUAACAAUCUUUUUCGGUUAAGCUAUCCAGUGGUUAACGAUUUUUUAGAGUUUAAAAAAUUAAAAACUAUCGUACAUGACAUAUAACUUUGGUUUAAAAGUAAUAUCCCCUUUUAAAAAAAAAACAAACAUGGGAUACAAUUUCAAUAUAAUCCACUUUUUGCAUUUAAAUCAGUGUACAUAUUAUGAAAUAUACAUAUAAUUUUAAACAUAUAAUUUUUUGCAUUUAAAUCAGUGCCAUCAUGUAACAUGUGUAUGUUACGUUAUAACCUAAGUUUAGUAGAACUUGAGAAAAACAAAUAAAAAACUUGCGAAAACUUUAUUAAUUAUACAUGAACAAAUAAAUAUUUGCUACAAAAGUUUGUUGAGCAUCGAUGGUUUUAUUGAUCGUACAUCACUUGAACUAAGAUCAAGUUUUGAUCCAUGUGUUACACUUUCUGAUAAACAUAUAUAAACAUUUUUUGAAUUUCGAAUGUUCAAUGACAGGCUCAAUUUUAAGUUUAGGAUGUUAAAUUAUAAUGUUCAUUGA